rnacentral:siRNA from 1 species
ACAAUACACCGCUUAAAGAAUUGU